UUUUUCAUUUUUUCAUUUUUUUAUUUUUCAUUUUUAAAAUGCAUUAUUAUUGAUUCAAAAAUGCAUUAGGAAAGAAACAGCAACAGGCCUGUGACA
rnacentral:ribozyme from 14 species